rnacentral:lncRNA from 1 species
CUUUGAUGUUCAUCUCUGGCAUCUUGAAUUUAGGGCCCUUCAGUUUCGCAUCUGGACCUUCAAUAUUCACAUCUGGAACAUCAACGUCCACCUUGGGUCCUGAGACGUCAAGGUCAGCCUUGGGCAGGUUCACAUCCACUUCAGGGCCCUCUGCUUUGAAGCCAGGCAUGCUGAACUUGGGCAUUUUCAUCUUGGGCAUCUUCAGGUGCCAGUCUGGAGCUUGGACAUCGGGGGCAUUUACAUCAACUUUGGGGCCCCUGAUGUUCAUAUCUGGUACUUCAAGUUUACCUUCUACCUCAGGC